AUACGGAGGAUCCGAGCGUUAUCCGGAUUUAUUGGGUUUAAAGGGUGCGCAGGCGGCCAUUUAAGUCAGCGGUUAAAUCGUGGGGCUCAACCCCAUUCUGCCGUUGAUACUGGGUGGCUUGAUUGCGGUCGAGGUUGGCGGAAUUCGAUGUGUAGCGGUGAAAUGCAUAGAUAUGACGAAGAACACCGAUUGCGUAGGCAGCUGACCAGACCGCAAAUGACGCUCAUGCACGAAAGUGCGGGGAUCGAACAGGAUUAGAUACCCUGGUAGUCCGCACAGUAAACGAUGAAUACUUGUUUUCGGCGAUAUAAUGUCGGAGGCAAAGCGAAAGCGAUAAGUAUUCCACCUGGGGAGUACGCCGGCAACGGUGAAACUCAAAUGAAUUGACGGGG
rnacentral:rRNA from 1 species